rnacentral:rRNA from 1 species
AUUGAACGCUGGCGGCAUGCCUUACACAUGCAAGUCGAACGGUAACAGGUCUUCGGAUGCUGACGAGUGGCGAACGGGUGAGUAAUACAUCGGAACGUGCCCGAUCGUGGGGGAUAACGAAGCGAAAGCUUUGCUAAUACCGCAUAAGAUCUACGGAUGAAAGCAGGGGACCGCCAGGCCUUGCGCGAACGGAGCGGCCGAUGGCAGAUUAGGUAGUUGGUGGGAUAAAAGCUUACCAAGCCGACGAUCUGUAGCUGGUCUGAGAGGACGACCAGCCACACUGGGACUGAGACACGGCCCAGACUCCUACGGGAGGCAGCAGUGGGGAAUUUUGGACAAUGGGCGCAAGCCUGAUCCAGCCAUGCCGCGUGCAAGAUGAAGGCCUUCGGGUUGUAAACUGCUUUUGUACGGAACGAAAAGGUUCUUUCUAAUAAAGAGGACUGAUGACGGUACCGUAAGAAUCAGCACCGGCUAACUACGUGCCAGCCGCCGCCGUAAAAC